rnacentral:rRNA from 1 species
CCUACGGGAGGCAGCAGUGAGGAAUAUUGGUCAAUGGACGCAAGUCUGAACCAGCCAAGCCGCGUGCAGGAAGACGGCUCUGUGAGUUGUAAACAGCUUUUGUACGAGGGUAAACGCAGAUACGCGUAUCUGUCUGGAAGUUACGUACGAAUAAGGAUCGGCUAACCCCGGGCCAGCAACCGCGGUAAUACGGAGGAUUCAAGCGUUAUCCGGAUUUAUUGGGUUUAAAGGGGUCGUAGGCGGCCUGUUAAGUCAGCGGUAAAAGUCCGGGGCGCAACCCCGGCGAGUCGUUGAAACUGGGGGGCUGGAGUUGGAGAGAAGUAUGCGGAAUGCGCGGUGUAGCGGUGAAAUGCUUAGAUAUCGCGCAGAACCCCGAUUGCGAAGGCAGCGUACCGGCUCCACACUGACGCUGAGGCACGAAAGCGUGGGUAUCGAACAGGAUUAGAUACCCGAGUAGUC